CCCUUUACUCAAACCGUGUGGGUUCGACGGUGUCACGCAAUCUUGUUUGGACUCCUUCCUCAACACUUUAUCCACCUCAACCGAAGAGAAAAAAGCAACAGAUUGAGGCAAAUCGUGUACUCCGAGUUGGUACGCACAGAAAACUCUUGUCAAAAGAUUAGUAGUAUGCAGAGCCAGAGCAGCUUGGUACCUAUGUUCUUCUGGAACCAAAUAACGUACUUCAUCGUGAAAACUUAAACAAAACCUUAUGUUCUUUCCCAUUAUCCACUUCAUGCAUACCAACAUGAGGUGCAAAAAAUCGGCAGCACCGCUUUGGACGACCCAAUUCACACGUGUCGGUAAAUAUUGAUCUUCAGACUUGGUUUUCGGUUCUAGAGCUCUACUCAA